UACAGAGGUCUCAAGCGUUGUUCGGAUUCAUUGGGCGUAAAGGGUGCGUAGGUGGCGCUGUAAGUCGGGUGUGAAAUUUCGGAGCUUAACUCCGAAACUGCAUUCGAUACUGCGGUGCUUGAGGACUGGAGAGGAGACUGGAAUUCAUGGUGUAGCAGUGAAAAUGCGUAGAGAUCAUGAGGAAGACCAGUGGCGAAGGCGGGGUCUCUGGACAGUUCCUGACACUGAGCACGAAGGCCAGGGGGAGCAAAACGGG
rnacentral:rRNA from 1 species